GGAGGCAGCAGUGGGGAAUAUUGGACAAUGGGCGAAAGCCUGAUCCAGCAAUGCCGCGUGAGUGAUGAAGGCCUUAGGGUUGUAAAGCUCUUUUACCCGGGAUGAUAAUGACAGUACCGGGAGAAUAAGCUCCGGCUAACUCCGUGCCAGCAGCCGCGGUAAUA
rnacentral:rRNA from 1 species